GCCUCCUUCCGGCCGGCCCCCUGCUCGCAUCUUGGCUUGCUGAGGCUGCGGGUCUUGGCCGGGCCUUCGAGAAUCCCCCGCCGCCUCCCCUUCUGGAUGUAUCUGCGCCGCCUCCUUUCUCCCUCCCCUUCCUUCCAGCCCUUCAUUCCCUCGGGGCGGGCGGGCAGGCCGGCAGGCCCCGCGCAAACCUGGGGAAAGGAGUCGACCUUUGAGACCUGCUUGUUCAUGGCUGUUUCACAGAUGUCGAAGUGGAGGCUCAGCAGGGUUGGAGGUUCCCGGAGUCUCCCAGCUGAAAUGGAAGUGCUUGGUGAGGUUUGGUGUGUCCGAGCCGAAGAGCAGCCAAUGACAGGCCUGGGGAUCGUCUGGCACAGCCCACUUCUUGACAAGGCCUUGGAAACUUGGUCUCUGCAGCAGCAACCGGAUUUCAGCCUGGGCCUCGGACACCUCGGCCUGGGACUGUACAUCUUGGCCUCUUACCUACUGUGUCCGCGUCAGCCUCCCUCACAGCCUGAUGGCCCCUGCGGCAGCCCCAACCCGGUUUCAGGGGCUAAGAAAACUACAGUUGCAUGAACGGGUGGAGGUGAGUGGGAGGCAGAAGCGGCGGGGAGAACCAGUCUGUUCCGAGAUCUCUGGACCAACCAGUGGAUCCUGAUGGUCAGCCUUGUCUAGAGCCCCUUCCAGCGUGCAGGCCAGUCCUCCUGGCAUUCUUCUAAUUACACCGAGCUGUGAGUUAU